AUUGAACGCUGGCGGCAGGCCUAACACAUGCAAGUCGAACGGUAACAGGAAGAAGCUUGCUUCUUUGCUGACGAGUGGCGGACGGGUGAGUAAUGUCUGGGAAACUGCCUGAUGGAGGGGGAUAACUACUGGAAACGGUAGCUAAUACCGCAUAACGUCGCAAGCCCAAAGAGGGGGACCUUCGGGCCUCUUGCCAUCGGAUGUGCCCAGAUGGGAUUAGCUAGUAGGUGGGGUAACGGCUCACCUAGGCGACGAUCUCUAGCUGGUCUGAGAGGAUGACCAGCCACACUGGAACUGAGACACGGUCCAGACUCCUACGGGAGGCAGCAGUGGGGAAUAUUGCACAAUGGGCGCAAGCCUGAUGCAGCCAUGCCGCGUGUAUGAAGAAGGCCUUCGGGUUGUAAAGUACUUUCAGCGGGGAGGAAGGGAGUAAAGUUAAUACCUUUGCUCAUUGACGUUACCCGCAGAAGAAGCACCGGCUAACUCCGUG
rnacentral:rRNA from 1 species